CCCUUCGAUGUUCGGAGCUGCACGCGCGCUACACUGUGGGUGGCAGCAUGUUAGCUUGCCUCGCUCGCAAGAGUGGGGUAAUCGUUUGAAAAUCCCACGUGAUUGGGAUAGGGACUUGUAAUUAUUUCCCUUGAACGAGGAAUCCCUAGUAAGUGCAGGUCAUCAGCUUGCGCUGAUUACGUCCCUGCCCUUUGUACACACCGCCCGUCGCUCCUACCGAUUGAAUGGUCCGGUGAAGCGUUCGGACCGUGGCCUUUGGACGGUUCGCCGUCUGUUGGCUGCGGGAAGUUCGUUAAACCUUAUCAUUUAGAGGAAGGAGAAGUCGUAACA
rnacentral:rRNA from 1 species